AUACGGAGGGUGCAAGCGUUAUCCGGAUUUAUUGGGUUUAAAGGGUCUGUAGGCGGAUCUGUAAGUCAGUGGUGAAAUCUCAUAGCUUAACUAUGAAACUGCCAUUGAUACUGCAGGUCUUGAGUAAGGUAGAAGUAGCUGGAAUAAGUAGUGUAGCGGUGAAAUGCAUAGAUAUUACUUAGAACACCAAUUGCGAAGGCAGGUUACUAUGUCUUAACUGACGCUGAUGGACGAAAGCGUGGGGAGCGAACAGGAUUAGAAACCCGGGUAGUCC
rnacentral:rRNA from 1 species